AGAGUUUGAUCCUGGCUCAGAUUGAACGCUGGCGGCAUGCUUUACACAUGCAAGUCGAACGGCAGCACGGGGGCAACCCUGGUGGCGAGUGGCGAACGGGUGAGUAAUAUAUCGGAACAUAUCCGGAAGUGGGGGAUAACGUAGCGAAAGUUACGCUAAUACCGCAUAUGCCCUGAGGGGGAAAGUGGGGGAUCGCAAGACCUCACGCUUUCGGAGUGGCCGAUAUCGGAUUAGCUAGUUGGUGAGGUAAAGGCUCACCAAGGCGACGAUCCGUAGCUGGUCUGAGAGGACGACCAGCCACACUGGGACUGAGACACGGCCCAAACUCCUACGGGAGGCAGCAGUGGGGAAUCUUGCGCAAUGGGCGAAAGCCUGACGCAGCCAUGCCGCGUGAAUGAUGAAGGUCUUAGGAUUGUAAAAUUCUUUCACCGGGGACGAUAAUGACGGUACCCGGAGAAGAAGCCCCGGCUAACUUCGUGCCAGCAGCCGCGGUAAUACGAAGGGGGCUAGCGUUGCUCGGAAUUACUGGGCGUAAAGGGAGCGUAGGCGGACAUUUAAGUCAGGGGUGAAAUCCCGGGGCUCAACCUCGGAAUUGCCUUUGAUACUGGGUGUCCUGAGUGUGAGAGAGGUAUGUGGAACUCCGAGUGUAGAGGUGAAAUUCGUAGAUAUUCGGAAGAACACCAGUGGCGAAGGCGACAUACUGGCUCAUUACUGACGCUGAGGCUCGAAAGCGUGGGGAGCAAACAGGAUUAGAUACCCUGGUAGUCC
rnacentral:rRNA from 1 species